CCUACGUGAUGCAGCAGUGGGGAAUAUUUCACAAUGGGCGAAAGCCUGAUGCAGCAACGCCGCGUGAAGGAAGAAGGCCUUCGGGUCGUAAACUUCUGUCCUUGGGGAAGACGAACUGACGGUACCCAAGGCGGAAGCCCCUGCUAACUACGUGCCAGCAGCCGCGGUAAUACGUAGGGGGCAAGCGUUAUCCGGAAUUAUUGGGCGUAAAGAGUACGUAGGUGGCAAACUAAGCGCAGGGUUUAAGGCUAUGGCUCAAACAUUGUUCGCCCGGCGAACUGGGAUGCGUGAGUGCAGGAGAGGAAAGCGGAAGUCCUGGUGUAGCGGUGAAAUGCGUAGAGAUUAGGAGGAACACCAGUGGCGAAGGCGGAUUUCUGGACUGUAACUGACACUGAGGUACGAAAGCGUGGGGAGCAAACAGGAUUAGAUACCCGUGUAGUC
rnacentral:rRNA from 1 species